ensembl:lncRNA
CACACACACACACACACACACACACACACACACACACACACACACACACACACACACACACACACACACACACACACACACACACACACACACACAGUAAUGCUUCAACCAAGAAGCAGUUGGGGCUGUUGGGAGACCAAAGCUCAUCCUGCAGGCUGGUGGGGUUGUGUUUUGAAAAUUCAACUAUUUCUGAGCACUUUGGAAAGCUCCACAAAGCUUUGCUGAUUUUUUCUAGAAUUAUAAAUCUAAAGCCAAAGAAAUCCGUCCCACCUCUGCAGAAUGUUCCUGGCCUCCAGUCAUUUGUAUUCUAGUUUUCCCUUAACAUUUGAUAAACCACAUAAGUUUCCCAUAACUUCCAACAUAUUCACAUAUGAGCACUGCACACCUCACUCCAUCUACCACAAAGAAAAAAAAAAAAACAGACACAUUAUACGUUACACGAUGUUCUUCAAGCUCAUAUGGGGUAGUUCGGACUGCUUUUGGCAAGUUAACGGUGGCAGCAGGUUGACUGAUGGGCAAAAAAGUUCAUUCAUGAAGAGAAGUCACAAAAGCGAGGACUUGUUCAUUUCAGGGUACAGCAGCAGGGCAUGUGUGUUGUUAUCAUCUUUAAUUUGCAUCUGUUAAAGUCUGGCUUCACCGUUUCCCAAAAUGAAACAAAUAAAAAAAAAAAAAAACUCACUUGGCAUGCACUGCUCUGCUUUCUCCACCUGCACAAAGAAGGAAGUCUUUGGGGGCCAAACAGAGCAAAGCAGACUAGAACAUGAUUGUGUUCCCUCAUUCCCCGUUUUAUUUCUGACAUAACCUAUGUACAUCAACAGAAAAAAAACAGCCCAUUUACAGGGAAAGAACACAGAAAUAUCAACUAAGCACUGACUCGGGGUGAACUAUCAGAUGAUAAACUCCCUGAUUACAAGCAGGUGAUCUGGGUUACACACACACAAAAAAAAAAAAAACAUGGAGAAAAAGCCGGAAGCAAGGGAACAAAAAACAGUUUCAGAAAUUAACAGAAGUUAAGUGAAAUAUCGGACGAACACUUAACUAAAAAUGUUUUAAAAAUCACAUCUGGAAAUGUGACGCUUCUGUGGCUGGUGGGUGAUUUUCAUGAAAUGCUGACGGACUCCAGAGGUAAAGGAUGCCGGCAGUUAGAAAGGACGAGCACAACAAAACACAGUCACGACACGCACUCCACGAUGCACUUCCACGCACACAUUCUUUAUAAAGGCAGGACCAGCGUGAACCAACAGAGGAUUAAUACAAGCAGACACCGCCUCCAGUCUGAGGAGAAGGAAAAGGAUGCCUGUGCACACCGAAUAAUCAGAGCGGCGGACGUAAAUUUACAGAAUCCGAUCUGCCGUCUUCAAAUAUUACACAAAUAUUUGCUUUUUUAAAAAUGUUAAACACAAUCAUUGGAAUGAAUAUUUUUGUUCGACUGACUCAAAUAAAAUAAAAGAUACAGAGGAGUUGAAAAGUGGAAGAUGGUCAAGCGAGGGGUUGAAAAUAAUAAAGUAAACACCCUAUUAUUAAAAUAACAUUUUACCUUUGUUUUAAAAAAAGAUUACAAAAUAUAAAAUUAAAUAAUUUGGAGUAUAAAGGCACACAUCUUGCACAGUGUAUACAAUGAAACAGUUAUUUAAAGCAUGGUAAGGGUCUAUUUUACACACCGAACAGCUCACAAAUCUGGUUAAAGUGGAGGGGCACAAAGAGAACCUGAACAGCCAACAACACAGACUAGAGAGGGGGGAAAGGAAACUCAGUCCUGUGACAUGCAAUUUUUUUUUUGUCCUUUUUAGCUUUAAGUACAUCUAUAAAUUGUAAAAAUUCAAGCAGUAUCAUUCUUCAUUUACCACAGCACCAUCAUUCAUUCUGAAGGGUGGCUCCGUUUGCUUUUUUCUUUUUAAAUACAACUAUAUUUCAUGACUAAAAUCCAAUGUAAAAAUAUAAAUGUGAAUAUAAUCUAUGAUAUCUAAACAAACAUAUUGUGAUGGAAGCUUUUUGCAUGGGUUAGAAUAGUCAAGGAGGACUUGAACUUACUUUAGUUGGUUAUCCAGACGUGAUACACAACAUCACACGCAAAAACAACUUUUUCUCACUUACAUACAAGUAAUAUUGCAUUUCCCUUGUUAAGACCAUGUCGACUAAUUGGGAUCGUAUUCGUAACAUUUGGUUCCUUUCCUCUUGUGCAAAAUA